rnacentral:rRNA from 1 species
AUUGAACGCUGGCGGCAGGCCUAACACAUGCAAGUCGAACGAGUGGCGGACGGGUGAGUAAUGUCUGGGAAACUGCCUGAUGGAGGGGGAUAACUACUGUAAAAGGUAGCUAAUACCGCAUACCAUCAGAUGUGCCCAGAUGGGAUUAGCUUGUUGGUGUGGUAACGGCUCACCAAGGCGACGAGCCCUAGCUGGUCUGAGAGGAUGACCAGCCACACUGGAACAGAGACACGGUCCAGACUCCUACGGGAGGCAGCAGUGGGGAAUAUUGCACAAUGGGCGCAAGCCUGAUGCAGCCAUGCCGCGUGUAUGAAGAAGGCUUUCGGAUUGUAAAGUACUUUCAGUGGGGAGGCGUUACCCGCAGAAGAAGCACAGGCUAACUCCGUGCCAGCAGCCGCGGUAAUAC